CCCUGGUUUGGGCAGCAGAAACUGGGAAGUAACUGGAGGGGAUGUAUUAGCAUCAUGUCUCCUCUACCUGAGAAGCAGAUAAGAAGUUGUGCAGAAAUAAUUAAUGUAUGCCUGAUUCAAGCAUUAACUGCUAUUGAUUUUCCUGGAAGGAGUUGCACUGUGCAGUAGGAGCCCCAGCCAGUGGUCCUGCUGCUCUGCUGUAAGUGUGGGAAAAUCACAAGUGGAUGAGUAAGAAGAGACAGGGAAAGUCCCUGCACCUACCUGCUCAGAAAUCUUUGGUUUGUUUACUCCCUUCUGUGCAUGCUCUGUGCCAUUAUUAUACCGUUGUGCAUCCUCCGAAAUAACACUGAAGAUAUGCUUGGUUAUAACAAGUCCACAUAUCCAUGGCAUUAUACUGCUGCUAGUACUACAGUAUAUUUUCAGCCUACCCUGAGAUGUGUACAUUUUUGCAGAUCUUUGUUACUGAUUUGAUGCGAUAGGUGGUCAGAUACCAUGGUGAUCAGUGGCAGUAUAAAACUCUGAGAGAGAUCGAAUUUUUAGUUAAUUCAUUAAAGACUUUUAUACUCUGCAGUUGAUCUUUGCUACCUGGAACACACUGAUUUUAAAGAGUGGUCAUCAUUGAUACUAGAGGAAUGUAUUGAUUGAGGUGUCCCCCUUCUGUGUCAUGAGUUUGGGAGGUAUUGUAAAAGCAUCUUCUGUUUUCUGAGUUGUCAGAUCUGUAUUUACUGUAACCAGAAAAACACUAAGAAGAGCUCAAAAUGCUACUCCUUUUUGAUGUGGAAGUUAAUAAUUCCAGGCUUCAUUUUCACUGGUACUUCUUUGGUUAUACUUGUAAUGUAUAAAAUGGUCUCAACUUGAUUUCACUGAUUCCAUGUAACUUAGAAGGCUUCUCUACCAGAAUCAUAUCCCAGACCUCCUAUACUGUACUAUAUUUCCACAGGUGUACUAAAAGUGACAUGAACUCAAUGGAGUCACAUCAAUCAAAUCCAACAUUAACAUUUUCUAUUUUUAGAGCUACAUAAGCAUGUGGUUUUGCAACCUGGCAUUUUUGUUCCAGUGUUAACCGAUCAGUACUGCCAUUGGAAUGCUGUCAUGAUUUACUGCCAGUAUAUGUGACCCUGUGCUAAGCCAGAGGGACAGGCAUACACCCAACGCCCACUGGUAGUUGCUGUGCUCUGUAAUUCAACUCUGUAAUUCAGUAACUUUUAAAACCAACUAAAUAGUUACCAUAUGGUGGAAAAUUAGUAAUAUGGGACUCAAAUUUUUGUGUGGUAUUAAAUCAACACAUGGAAAAAGUUAAAUAUCAUCCUCAGUGCCCUCCAUGUGUUUAGUCGCAUUGAAUGAAAUGCUUAUAGAGCAUAUUAUUUAAUUUUUAUAAGGUUUGCCACAUCCAGUGAAAUUUAUUACAGUUGCUUUGAAAAACCUUAUGCAGGUGCCUUCUAAGUUGAGCUCACACAAGUUGGAACAUCACAUGCCCUACAAGCAGUUUGUUACUAGAUACAUAGUAGUGUGUUUAAAGGAAUCCCACAAUAAAUUGAUUUGUAGUAAUCCAUAGUGUUUGGCAGGAGUUUGACUAUAUAACACACAGAGAAAUAUUUAAAUAUAACCUUUCAAAAUGAGAGCCUGAAAUUAUGAUAAGUGUGAAGACCUCUGAAUACAGCAUAGAAGAGCUUGUGGCUCUUCCACAGAGUAUCACCUCUGUUGAAUUGCAUGCACUUCUCUCCUCUCACAGCCCUAAGCAAAAGAAAUAACAUCUAAAGAUGUGUGUAGACAAAACGGGGGCCCUAAACUGAAACGGUGGGUUUUUAAACCCACCACUUCAUUUUAGGGUGAAGUAAACCCCAGUGUCAUGCACGUCCCCCAUGCUUACCUGCCUCUCUGAUGGGGAGGGGAUGGCGAGUUGCCAGCAGGCAGAGCAGUCCCUGGGCUGUGGGGGGGCUGGUGCUUCCCUCCGCGGGAGUGGUGGCCCCCUCUCCAGGCAGCACCUGCCUGCAGGCACCCAGCUUGGGUGGUCCCUGGGGACACCGCAGCUGUGAAAGAAAGCACUGGGCCCCUGUGCAGCUCAGGUAGGCAGGCAGGCAGGCAGGCUCCAGGCGGGGGGAAGGAAAUCUGGCUCACUGCUUUUCUUGGGAGGAGCUGCCUUCCCAGGCUGCUGCCAGACUGCCUGCAGGGCUUCCUGCAGAGCUGUGGAGCUGCACAGAGCCCAGUGCUUUGCUCUGCGGCUGUAGGGCAGCAAAAUAAACUCCUUGGAGGAUUUUGAGUUUGCUGUGCCCACAAGUCAUUUAGGGUGCAUUAUGCAGCUGAAUUUCCUACAGCGGCUAGAAUUAAUGCGCAAUAUGCCUCUGAGGCAUGCAAACACUGACACUGUUAAAGUGGUGCAAAAGCAUUUAGCCUGCUUUAAAGUGUUGUGCGCACACGCCCCUCGUUUCAUCUACACGUGGCCUAAGUAUAUCAUACCCAUACAGAAGUCAUACUAUUUGGUGUCUACUAGCACUCUGUUACAAUCAAACAGCUACCUGACAAUGGUCCAAAACAAGCUUUAUUAGUAGAUAUUCUGGGCAUGAGUCAACUACCUCAGCGAUGAGUCUGCAAACACUGCCAAGAAGCAUGCUGUGCCUACUCGCUCCCUCACUGUGCACCAAAUGUUUGGAAAUUAGACAGUGAAACUAGUUUAGCAUAGCCCUGAGCACACCCCCAGCAUUGCUCAGGCUCUCUCUCUUAGGCAUGCUUCUUGUCAUACACUCAGAGCUACAUUAAACUGACUAUGCUGCUUCAUUUCCAGGCAUUGUGGAGUGCUGAGCAGAAGUAACAGAGUGUGGCCUGAUUUUCAGCAGUGCUUCCAAGAUCUCCAUUGAGGCAGUGUAGACUUGCCGUCAGCCCCAUGUUGAUCAUGCUAGAAUUGUGGUUCAUAAACUCCAUCCCAGGGGAACCAUCUACUCUUUCAGUACUUUUGAGAAUCAAGUCUCCAAAUGUUUUUCCAUCUUUGACAAUUUGGUGAAUUUAGGUGACAGGAGUCAGGUGAGUAUCCAGCCAGGAAAAACUUUCCCAGGACUAUGACAGUAUAUUAAUCUGUUGCUUAAUAUUUACACUCUGCAAACAAUUUACAUGGCAUCCGUGGGUUAGAUUUAAAAAAAAGACACUAGACAUUUUUGUCACCUAACUUACUCAUCAACUAAGCAGUCUAGCUAGUAUAAAAUGCAGCUGGCCACCUUGUGGAUAGAUGGUAUAGAUUCUCUUCUGAAGCUUUUGCUCUGGGUUCUUCAUUCAUGCAGUGUUACAGUGAUGAUGAUACUCUCUUUGGGUCUGAAUAGUUUAGACCAGAGGUUCUGAAAUUGUGGUCCACGGACCACCGCUGGUCCGUGAGCUCCAUUCAGGUGGUCUGCAGAAAGGUUGAGGAACAAUCGAGAAUAUCUAUACUUGUAAGGUAAGACUACUGAUAUUAAAAUAUGAGUUGUGUGUUUUGAUUGUAGAACAAAUAAAUGUUUAUUAAGUGCAAUUGUUGUUUGGUCUCUCCUACGUAUUGUCCAUCAGGGCAUUUGCUGCACUGGAUGAGAUAUAUUACAUUUCUGGAGGUGCAGCUGUAAGAUCCGGGAAUGCUGAUGGCUCUGUUGUGGGGUGUAGUAAUUGUGGGGGUGGUGGAGAUGUGUUGGCAGGUUUUGCAUUUCUUGUCAUGGCACGGUCUGGAUCCUUUUGGUGUGUUGUGGGUUUGAGGAAGUUUGCUUCUGGUAAUGAGGUUAGUGAGGUGAUGGAAAAUACGUAGGAGAGACCAAACAACAACUGCGCACCAGAAUGAAUGCACACCGGAAAUCUAUCAAAGACAGGAAUACCCAGUUACCUGUGGGGGCAUCUUUCUCACAAGAAAACCACUCUCUCUCCAAUCUCUCAGUCCUGAUCCUCAAAGGAAACUUACAAAACACUUCCCAGAGACGAGCCUAUGAACUCCACUUCAUCAACCUCCUGGAUACUAGAGGUCAUGGACUAAAUAUAGACAUUGGAUUUAUGACACAUUAUAACCUGCUUGACAUCUGACUCCCCAGGUAUCUCUCCACUUUCAUCUCCCUUCUCUUUCUCUCCCCCCUCCAGCCUGUCUCUCACCCAUUGAUUCCUCAAUCUACAUUUUCACUGACUACCUGUGUUGCAUGCAUACCAGCCCAGCCGCUGGCUUCUUUACUUUUCAUUCCAUCCAGGAAGAGCACACACCACCUGCUGAAAUUUCCUUAGCCUGAUGAAGGGUUUUUGAACCCGAAAGCUUGCUUAAUAAUUGUUUUUCAACUAUUUAAGUAGGUCUAAUAAAAGAUAUCAGAUUCACCCAAAGAACCUUGACUGCCGAAUUCUUUCUGGAGAAGAGGAGGAAUACAAGAAUAGUUGGACCAUUGUUGACUGGUUAGCCCUCUCUCUCACUUGGUUAAAUGGACUGUUGGACAAUUCCAGACUGUACUGGGGAGGAGGGAGAGGGGGAGAACUAGUUCCAAAUAAAAAUGGGCAAGCACAAGGUAUAUGAGAGGUUUUUUAAAAAAAAGUCUACUUCUAGUUAGUAUAGCCAAAAUGAUUAGCUCUCUAAAUACCUGAGUUUUUUGGAUCAGAGUAUUUGCUAGAAUACUUUAGAUCCUUUGGGGGUGUCAAGAUGAGUAUUGAAAGAGGGUAAGUCAUGAUAUACUCUUCAUCCAAGAGACUUAGAGCUUGAUCCAGACUCCAGCAUUUUGGAACAGGUCUUUGCCUUGUUAUUUAAAGUAACAGGGCUGCUCUGACAAUUAAGGGUCACUUCUAAAUGAAGUUUUCUGACUAUUUAGUCCAGUCCUGGUCUUGUACUGACUGCAGGCUUAGUCUUGGACUGACUACAAGAACCAGAUCUAAAUGUCAGGGAAAAAAGCAUAUAGAUAUUUUAUUAUUUAUAUUUUCUUUACACUUCUUGAAUGUGGAAAUCUUAGUAAGAAAUUUUAAUUGGCUAAAAGAUUAAUUAAAACAAAUAGGAGAGAUUUUAUAGAUGUCUAUGAGUUAAGUGAGAAAAUAAGUCUCAGAAGUUUUGUAACAUAAUACUGUAUAUACAAUCUUUUUUGCUACUCUUUCGGUAAUAACAUCUUCUUGGUUGGUACCACAAUAGCUUUGGCUCUUAGUGUUGAACCAUAUAUCACCAUGAGACAGGUGGCAAGUAAUCAAGGUUUUGAAGAGCUGCUAAAUGUAAGUACUAACGUGGCAGUGUUAUUCAGCUGCAAUACUUUUCUUAUUCCAAGUUUUACUUCAGUGUAAAAACAGAGCUAGAGCAGGAAUUGUCAGAAAAUUGCAUAGUGUAGUGGCUGCACUUUUGAAAUUGAUUGAUGCUGCAAGGUUUUUUGCAAAUGAAACACCUGAGGAUGACUUUUCAACCUGGCCAAUUAGCCAUUCUUCAUAAGUGCCAUUGUUUCUGUAAUGCACUGACAACCUCUUCACUCUUUUUGGGUGCGCACAGUAUUAGGACGCUGCAGAGAGGCCUGAAGAAUCCAUAUGUGAAACCAUGUAAGAUGAUUCAGGGAUCAUACUAAAGCACUUUUUUAUUUCCCAUUUAUGACAUCUUAAAAGCUUCCUUCCCUCUUAGAAUUUUCUGAUAGCAACCAAAAAAAAGUUACCUGAGAGUUUGUUUCACCAUCAGAAACUGUUACAAAAAGUGGAAUAUAGAAUUACUCUCAUAAUAUUACAUAAAUAAAACAAACACUAAGGCUGGAUCCAGAUGUGAAGGCAUGUGUACUUGGUGGCAUCACGAACCUCUUUAUGGUACCACAGACCACAUGCAUUGCAAGUUAAACCAUGCACUGUGCUGCUAAUUUGUAGAGCUGGGGCAAAAUUUGCUACUGGGAUUUCCUGAUUUCCUGGGAGCAAAAAAACCCCAACCCCCUGAAGAAAAAAGUGGCAUUCCCCAGCUGUCUGGGGUACAGGGUGCUUCAGUGCAGGGGCUCCACAGUGUAUUCAGAUGGUGGAGCAGGCAGCCUUAGGCUGCUUAGUUCUCUGUCUUCAUGUACCACUCCCCAGCUGGCUGGGGCAUAGGGUGCCUCAGCAUGGAGGCUGCUUGCCAGCUAGCUAUGCUUUGAGGCACCCUGUUCUUCAGCUAGCUCCCCCUGCAGCACAUGAAGCAGUGGGACAGCAUGUCCCGCUGCAAAGCGCAUGGGCAGGGGUGUGCACUGUGGCACAAAGCAGAUUUGUGCUGCUGCAAACACGUGCCCCUGCUUGUGUGGACAUGGCCUAAAAGGCUCCCAAGAAGGAGGUCUUCCCUGCAGCUAGUAAACACUUAAUAAAUAGAUGCUUAUCUGUUGUCCAGGUUUUUUGUGCUCUGACAUUGAAGGAAAUGGUUAAUAAUAAGAGGUUUUGAUAUAAGAAAGAGGGCUGGGGUGAUACCUGUCAGAAUUCUCUAAAUACCUCUCUACAUUGUUAUGCAGAAAAGUUGAGUUGUUCCAUAUCCCAUCUCUUGUUAAAAGGAUUAGUUAUUUUUUAAAGUUUCUAUUUAAGGCUCAAGACACUGAGAAGAAGGACAAGAAAUUAUAAUAAUUUUAACUAAAUACACCCAAUCCAAAAUCUGUCCCAAGCCUUGCUGCGUGUCUGUAACCAACAGUAUAUAAAGAAGUGAAGUGGCCAACACCAUGUCUGCUUGCCUUGAGUUCUCCAGGCUGAAAGACAGACUGUCUGCAGCAAACCUGACAGGUACUCUCAAAAAGGACAGCCUGCAUCCCUCCGAAUGCUGGCCCAUCUUCUUCUCAUCCCUGAACUCAGCUGUUGCUGGGUGCACUUUUCUGAUGUCAUUCAUCGAGCACCCAGACAACUGGAGCCAGCAGGAACUGAUAAAUCGCAUCGUCUGUGGUUCUGGCAUUAGAGAAGAAAUGGCUAUUCAGGAAUGAUUUCAGUGCAGAGAUUUUAGUUGUCUUCCUGACCAUCUAAGGAAGCAGGUAUAUAGGAGGAACUCGCACAGAGAUGUGGAGACGUGGAUUUCAGAAACAAUCAUACACUGAAGCUGAAGCACUUCACUUUCAAUGAUGCACAUAAGAGUCCUCAGGUUUUCCUGCUUGCGGUAUAACAGGUGUCAGCAUUGUAUAAGUGAAGAACUGGAGAGUUUUAAAGUAUGAGCAGCAAUCCCUUAAAAUGAAAAAUGAAUCAUCAGAAAAAGAAAUAAUCCUUUUGUGGGUAUCAUCGACAACCAGGGCUGCUUCACCUGCAACUUUGCCAGCUGGGUGGGCAGUGCCCAUGAUGCCAGCAUCUUCCACAACUUCCCACUUACCCAGAUGAUGAAGAAUGGCUACUAUGCUUCAAGAGUCUCUAGUAUCAUCAUUGGUGCCAUCAUUGUCCCUCCUGUGAUGGCCAGAGCCAGAGGGAUUAAUAAGCAAUAAAUAUGUGCUUCUUGGAGGCAUUUGGUAUUUUUGCCUAAUAUAAAGCUUGUAAGUUUGUAACCUGCAAAUGUAAUGUGUCUGUCAUAAGUUUAACCAAAAUGAUAAAAACUCACUGUUCGUGGAACUGACUGGGCCCCAAAAGCGAAGCUGUAGCUGCAAGAUUAGCUGACCUAACAGUUUUUGCUCAGGGUUCAGCCUUGAUGAUGAAAACUGGAUCCAACCACCUGGCACACCCAACACAUUCCAGGAAAGCAUGUCUCAAGAAGCAUAUUCAGAAAAACCUAAAAGGGUUGGGUUUAGUAAUGUUAAUUUCAAACCUAAAAAUGCUGCAUUGUAAUUUGUUUAUUGGAUAAACCUGAGUCUGGGUAGUAAUCUUUUACAAUAAUAUUUAAAACUUUUCAAUCCCAUAGGGUAACAGCUAUAGGGCAACAUUUGAGUGGCUCUAAAGCCAAGAGAUUAGCAUAAGGCUAGGUAUAAAAAGCGCAUGUGUCAGGUGACCAGCAGGAAGGAGAGAACCGAACGGUCAUUGCUGUUCCAAGCCCAGACUCCGGACUCCUGGUGUGAGUGAGGAUCGGAUUCUGAUCAAGGGAUUCUGAUCUUCCCUAGUAAUCCCUCCGACAGCGUCGAUCGGGGAUGCCUGACUUCUCUGGAAUCACUUGGCGUGCACCUGGCAUCAAGGGACUAUCGAUAAAUUGCCAACCCAUGUCUGUCUACCUGUUGUUUUGAACAGCCCAGUGGCUGAUACCCUCGCAGUGCCCAGUUUACCUGCGACAGAUUGAUCCAUCUAUCUGUUGUUAUUUACUAUUAGCUUUUUAAUUCUGCAUUAUCUGCUUGUCGCAUUUAUCUUUCUGUUAAUUGUUGUGUGUGUAAGCUAUAAUAAAUUUGCCUUUGCUUCA